AUUGAACGCUGGCGGCAUGCCUUACACAUGCAAGUCGAACGGCAGCAUGGAGAGCUUGCUCUCUGAUGGCGAGUGGCGAACGGGUGAGUAAUGCAUCGGAACGUACCGUGUAAUGGGGGAUAACGUAGCGAAAGUUACGCUAAUACCGCAUACGACCUGAGGGUGAAAGCAGGGGAUCGCAAGACCUUGCGUUAUACGAGCGGCCGAUGUCAGAUUAGCUAGUUGGUGGGGUAAAGGCUCACCAAGGCGACGAUCUGUAGCGGGUCUGAGAGGAUGAUCCGCCACACUGGGACUGGGACACGGCCCAGACUCCUACGGGAGGCAGCAGUGGGGAAUUUUGGACAAUGGGGGCAACCCUGAUCCAGCCAUGCCGCGUGAGUGAAGAAGGCCUUCGGGUUGUAAAGCUCUUUCGGCCGGGAAGAAAUCGCACAGGCUAAUACGCUGUGUGGAUGACGGUACCGGCAUAAGAAGCACCGGCUAACUACGUGCCAGCAGCCGCGGUAA
rnacentral:rRNA from 1 species